AGGUUGGGGUUGCCGUGCUGGAAACGGCAUUCAGCUGAAAGCAGGGAAUCUCUCGGGGAGAAAUCCUGGCUGGGUGGGACUGUUGUAUGUGUGUCUUGGUCUUAAGUGAGUGAGAUGCCCUGUUAUGGCUGGAAACCUUUUAUGAUUGAACUUUAAAUUAAAAAUAGUGAAUUAACAGUUAUUACUGCCUCCUGGUUUUAUAAGUUGGAUUUUUAAUUUUUUUUUUUUUCCGCAGUGUGCUGUAAAGUGGUACCUUGGCCAUGUGCUUUUGUCACUGCAGGGAGCUGCUGCCAGCAAGGCUGGGGGUGUCUGCGCCAGCAUCUUCCCAAAACCACCAUCAUGGAGGUGGCUCAGUGACGUUUCCACCCUUGCAAGGGCCGGGAUCCCGGGAGCACCCCGCUUUCCCCGCCGCGGCUUUGCCGGGUGGCCCGUUCCUUCCAGAACAUCUAUUUUGGUCGUGUAAAACUUGCCGGGGAGCAGGGAACAGGGAACAGGCAGCGUGUGAAUCACUCGGGGCCAACGGGUUUAAAAAUAAACCCAAGCGGCGGCGAGGAGCAGCCGCCAAGCCCCCGGAUUCCGGCAGGAGUGUGCUCCACACGUCCCAAACCCACCCGUGGGCACUGGCAUCAGCCAGGGAAGUUUAUUGGGACACGCUUGCAGUGGCGGGCACGUGUGUGCAUUGUGUGUGUGCUUGUAAAUACCUGUGUGUGUUAUGGAUGUGCUUGUAAACACGUGUGUGCUUGUAAAUGUGUGUGCAUUGUGUGUGUGUGCUUGUAAAUACUUGUGUGUGUUAUGGGUGUGCUUGUAAACGUGUGUGUGCUUGUAAACGUGUGUGCAAGGUGUGUGUGUGCUUGUAAACGUGUGUGCAUUGUGUGUGUGCUUGUAAAUACUUGUGUGUGUUAUGGGUGUGCUUGUAAACGUGUGUGUGCUUGUAAACGUGUGUGCAAGGUGUGUGUGCGCUUGUAAACGUGUGUGCAUUGUGUGUGUGCUUGUAAAUACUUGUGUGUGUUAUGGGUGUGCUUGUAAACGUGUGUGUAUGGUGUGUGCUUGUUAGCACGUGUGCAUUGUGUGCGUUGCGUGUGCGUGUAAACACGUGUGUGCUUGUGAACACGUGCACGAGCUCGCGCAGACGUGGCUGUGGGUCCUCACACGUACCCUGGUGCACACACGUGCACAGGGGUUGUUGAGCACACAUGCAUUUGGGUACACACUUGCGCGCGUGCAUUAAGGGCCCUUGCACGUGUGCACUUGCACACAUGCACUUGCUCACACAUGCAUGUGGGCCCUUGCACACGUGCGCUCAUGCACAAACUUGCACACACGUGCGUAUAGGUCCUUGCAGACAUACACUUGUGCACAUGCCUGCACACAUGUCCAUAUGCAUCCUUGCACACAGGUGCAUGGGUGUCCUUGCACUGGUGCACAUGCUUGCACGCACGUGUACACACACACACUUGCACUCGUGCUAAGGAGUCCUAGCACUCGUGUGCAUAUAGGUCAUUGCACACCUGUGCCUAUGGGUCCUUGCAAGCCUGCACAUUCCAGUAACGCCUUUGCACACAAGUGCACACGUGUGCAAAUGCCCCCAUGUGUCAUUGCCCAGACUCACACACUGGCCUGAAGCCACAUGUGCUGUGCUUACACACACGUGUGCACUCUUGCAGCGCCUGUAUGUGCUUGCACACGCUUGAACACACAUGCACGUGUUUGUGUAGCCUUGCACAUGCUUGCACACGCACUCACACACACAUGCACACAGCUGCACACGCUCACACCCUUCCCCACGCUCACACGCCCCUGCGCACAUGAGGCAGCGUGCCGGGGAAGCCAGGCCUCCCCCCACCUGGCUGCUGCUUUGGGACUAAUUAAUUAAUUAACGGCAACACCAGGUAUUGAAACUGCUCAGUCUAAUUACAGAUCUUUUGGGGUGAUGUGGGGUGCAGGAGGGAGGUGCUCCCCUCCUCCCCCUUCUGGGGCAGCCCCAGGGGGGCAACAGGGGCAGCGUGGGGUCCAUGGAGGUGGAAAAACUCAACAAAGUGUCCAAACUGACCAUUUUUGAGCCUCUUCUGUGGAUUUAACCCCUGCUCUGAGGUGGGGAACAGAGAGGGGUGAAGUCUGGAGGCUACUAAAGGGCUGUAAGGGGAAGGUGGGACGUUGCUCAGCCCCUUGGCCAGCCCUGACUGGAGCUGGGGGGAUGAUGGGGGG
rnacentral:lncRNA from 1 species